GCUUUCAUGGUGUAAUAGUCAGCAUACUUGGCUCGUAUUCAAGAGGUCCGAGGUUCGAGUCCCGGGAUAGCA
rnacentral:tRNA from 1 species